ensembl:piRNA 21ur-14388 ncRNA
UUCAUUUUCAACAAUGGGUUU